rnacentral:misc_RNA from 1 species
UCGAUACUUGACCGAAAGACUGCGAACUUGUAAACGGAUGCCCCCAUGGUGGUCGGGCAAGCCCGGCCUCUGUGGACCCCUGCGGCCCCAUUUUGGAGUGACCUCGUGUUGCACGGAUUGGGGUGGUACGGGAUAACGAAACCCCGGCGCUGCAUGCGCCAAGGAUCAUAUAUGACCGGAUGGGCGUGCGCCUCUGCCCGUGUGGCGAGGCAACGACCGCUGAACAUUACCAUAUGACUCUCGGCAACGGAUAUUUUGGCUCUGGCAUCGAUGAAGAACGUAGCGAAAUGCGAUACUUGGUGUGAAUUGCAGAAUCCCGUGAACCAUCGAGUCUUUGAACGCAAGUUGCGCCCGAGGCCUUCCGGCUGAGGGCACGCCUGCCUGGGCGUCACGCCUCGCGUCGCUUUAUGCUCCUGAUCCUUUGGGCAGUGGCGUCGAUGCGGAAAUUGGCCCCCCGUGCCUUGUGUGCGGUGGGCUAAAGAGAGGGCUGCCAGCUAGGUGUGGCACGGCAAGUGGUGGACAUAGCGCCAGCAGGAUGCCGUGGCCCCCCUAGUUGGAAGGACCCAAGUGACCCGGAUAAGGUGAGUUGCACUCCUGUAUGGGUUUGUGCCUUCGCCUCGCAAC